CUUCGAACUACUUUAUUGGCUUAUUUACAGUAGCUACUUUCAAAACAGUUGGAAUGGUUUCUGCAAUGGUAAAAUGAGUGAAAUAAGCCUGCAAGACAAGAGAGAAGUUACCUAAAGCCACAGAGUAGCUCACUAUUGGAAACAAAGGCAGCACAGGAUUCUAGUUCUUGAUGAAGUCCAUUCCAUGCACCAACUGUCACAACUGAAAAUGCCAUCCAUCACUCAUCAAUUGUGUGUACAGGAGCUGAGCCCUCCUUCACUAGCUGCCAACAAGACCGGAUGAGCCAGUAGGCAGGAAGUUGUCCAGUGGAGGGAUUAAAGGUACCCAUGUCGAAAUUAGCUUAAAAAUCCUGAUUGGAAGUCAGUCUGCCUUGUACUGAAUUUGGCUUAAGAACUCGGGAAAAGAGAAGCUGUUUAGAGAAUCAACUAAAGCUCCACAUUUUGCGUUCACACCAUGUGUGUUUAAAACCUGAGCCUGACAUUUAGCAGAUCAACAUGCUAAGAGUACCAAUCAAUAGACAUAAAUCUCUGCAGUGCCAGCACUUACUGCACUACAGCAUACCAUGCAAAGAAAACCUCCCACAAACAGCAGUUUCACCACUCCAGGAAUUACCUUUGUAUUUGGUGGAAGAUUCUGGGGCCUCCAUUCUGUCAAAAGCAAAGAUUUGUCAGUGAAACCAGAACUCAAGAAGAAAAUUUUGUGGGUCUGGAAGGACUUCAUAAUAUGGUCUCUGUGCUUUUGCUAUUUAAAAGAAAUACAAAAGAGGAUGUGA
ensembl:lncRNA